rnacentral:rRNA from 1 species
UGCAGUCGAGGGGUAACAGGRGARWGCUUGCUUUYYUGCUGACGACCGGCGCACGGGUGCGUAACGCGUAUGCAACCUACCUUCUACAGGGGGAUAGCCCAGAGAAAUUUGGAAUAAUACCCCAUACGAUCAAUGAUUGGCAUCGAUUAUUGAAGAAAACUCCGGUGGUAGAAGAUGGGCAUGCGUCCUAUUAGUUAGUUGGUGAGGUAACGGCUCACCAAGACGUCGAUAGGUAGGGGCCCUGAGAGGGGGAUCCCCCACACUGGUACUGAGACACGGACCAGACUCCUACGGGAGGCAGCAGUGAGGAAUAUUGGACAAUGGGSGMRASCCUGAUCCAGCCAUGCCGCGUGCAGGAAGACUGCCCUAUGGGUUGUAAACUGCUUUUAUACAGGAAGAAACYURCUUACGUGUAAGYASCUGACGGUACUGUAAGAAUAAGGAUCGGCUAACUCCGUGCCAGCAGCCGCGGUAAUACGGAGGAUCCAAGCGUUAUCCGGAAUCAUUGGGUUUAAAGGGUCCGUAGGUGGUUMAUUAAGUCAGAGGUGAAAGCCWGCMGCUYAACKGUWGAACUGCCUUUGAUACUGAUKRACUUGAGUYAUUGUGAAGUAGUUAGAAUAUGUAGUGUAGCGGUGAAAUGCAUAGAUAUUACAUAGAAUACCGAUUGCGAAGGCAGAUUACUAACAAURYACUGACACUGAGGGACGAAAGCGUGGGUAGCGAACAGGAUUAGAUACCCUGGUAGUCCACGCCGUAAACGAUGGUCACUAGCUGUUCGRBCAACAWUGGUUUUCUGANUGGCUAAGCGAAAGUGAUAAGUGACCCACCUGGGGAG